AUGCAACAUGAAACCUCUGAUAGUCCUUUCUGCGGGGAGGAUAGUCCAGUAUUCCUUGAACAAAUCAUACGUGGUACAUUUGAUGGUCCUUAUGCUCAUAUUGGUGUUGCCUUGGAAAUUAGCAUCCAGUGCACCAAUUUAGUGGAUCCGUUAGUCUGUGGAGCGAUUCAGUUUGGCUAUCUAGAAGAUGAUAUAGAAACAAAGUAUCAAAAGCCAAUCCAUCAAAUAAUUAAUUUUAAAACCUCCACAAUCUGCAAAAUGGACAAAAGUAUGAAAAUACCAAUGAAAUAUUAUCUAACUACUAAAAAUUAUCUAUCAAAAGAAAUAUUAACUAUCUUAGAAUCUUUCAGUUAUAAUGUGCGUACAACAAUUGCUAUUAGAAAACAUCCUACAACAUUACUGAUAUUAUUAUUUCAGAAUGCCCUAAGACAGUCCGUAACUCAUUAUGAAGAUUAUCGCUAA
rnacentral:rRNA from 1 species